ensembl:lncRNA
CCCAGGCGGACUCUCCGCAGCCCCGGAUGGGUGUCUGUGUUAGUUUACUAAACACCAGGACUAUUGUAGGCGAGUGUGAGAACAGCCCAGUGAGGCUGAGGCCACACAAUUAGCCCCAGUCUUUGCACUGCAACUCUACCAGGGAUCCUCGUUUGGCUCAUUUUCUUUCUUCUGCACCAUGAUUGUUCACCUUUUCAUUACCAGCAACAUAUCCAAAGACCUAGCUGUAGACUCGUUGGAAUCUGUUACUCAGCAGCUGUGUGAAUCAAGGGUUCAAUAGGAAUAAUGAUAUUAAGAUGUAUUCAUCUUACCUUUUCAGAGCAUUAUGAAGAAUAAGUGUGGUAAGACAUAUGAAAAUGCUUUGUAAAGUGUUAGAUGCUUAAUACACAGAAGACAUUGCUUCCAGAUCUGCUUCAACAUACCCCAAGAACGGAAUAAGUGAAAUAUGCUGGUUUCAUGCACUGUGGCAAGGGGGUCUCAUCUUGGCUAGACUUGAAUAAGUGGAUUUGCUGCCUGGCCUCUAUGGAUGGCUCUUUCUCUAGGCUUUUGUGUAUUUGAUUUUUUAUUUGCUCCAGCAGCCAUAUUGAACCAUGAAAGGACCUCGGGAAUGAAACCCAUACACAGCAAAGCAACAAAAUGAAAGAGACGUGGGUUCCUAGUGCAGGACGCACCGGACCAAUCAACACCCACUGUCCUUCAGACCUCCACAUGAAAGAAAAAGUUGCUGUCCUGUACAUUAUUGUCUUUGGGACCAAUACAUUUCUUCCAUCUGCAUAUCUGAGUAGAAGCUCACAUGGAAGAAAAAAGAAAAGCCCCAUAGGUGAAGGGGAGCGUGCCUGCCAAGUUCCUUGUAAUAACUUCACAUGGAGAGCAUAUUAUGAAAUGAAUCUGCUGGAGUCAUCUCAUAGAAUCUUCCCAUUCUUCUGGAGAGUCUCCUCAUUUUAGAGGGUUGUCACAGCUUUCGACAAGGUUCACAGCCGGCUUACCAAAGGCACUCUUCUUGGUACUGCACUCAGAAACUGGAAUCUGAACUAUAGACAAGUAAGCAAACAGCCAUAACCCGAAGUCACGAUGGAGAGGUGCUCUCCUGCGGCCAACACAGCCCUAAUGAGCUCUGCAUAUUCAAAGCACAAGUAAUUGAUGGUCCAAUUUAAAGUGUGCAGGGGCCAAAUUUCUUUCCAGACUCUGAAGGAAAAACACCAGCUGAGGAAGAAUGAAGAACUGCCUGUUCUAAGUUAUUCUCCUUCUGUGGUCAUUCGAACCCCAGGAAGACCAGGUUUGCCCCAUCAAGUACCUCAAGAAAGAAGUCAAUUACCUAAAGAAGUCAAGCAAAAAGGAAAGGACAAAAUGAAAAUCAUGUACCAGGGUACACAUCAAGGCUCCAAGCUGGAAUGAAUAUGGCCUUCAUCAUACUCUUCAUCAUACAGAAGCUUGUGUUCAGGGCUUGGAUUUUGAAGUCAGACAGACCUGGAUUAAAAACUAAUUCAACAACCUAUUACAUAUGUGACCUAGUUGCUUGCUCUGGUGGAAGUCAGCCUCCAUGCUGUGAGGAAACAAGCAACCUAUGGAGAAGCCUACAUGGAGAGGAACCAAGGCCUCUUUCCUACAACCAGCACCAAAUUGCCAGCCAUAUCAAUUGGAAGCAGAUCCUCCAGCCCCAGUCAAGCCUUCACAUGACUGUAGACCUGACUGAUAUCUCGGCUGUUCACCUCAUGACAAACCCUGAGCCAGAACCACCUGGCUAAGCUGCUCUUGAAUUUCUGAUUCACAGCAACUGUGAGAUAAUAAAUGUUUAUGGUUGUUUCAAA